CUUCUUCUUCUUCUUCUUCUUCUGCUGUGUGUUUAACGGCGGCUCGCCCCGAGUUUAAAGACUAGACACAUCUACGCCUCACUGCUGCCCUCCACGAACCAGGGUUCACGGUUUCUUAGCUUGUUAUAAUUAUUCCUGUGUACUUUGUGUGUUUGACGUUGUGCUGCCGCUGCAGUCUGUGAAACGUCAGGACAUUUAUAUAAAAGUGUCUCCAGCACUUCUGCAGACUCCUGAAGCAGCUCUCGUGUCGUCGGAUGGCGAUCAGGUGUGCAGGACACGUUCUUAUCUUAAUAAACUCACUUUGUACUCAAACCACAGACGAGGAAGUGAAUCAAUAAGUGAUGAAAACACCUUUUAUUCUGGCGGGGGUGAAAAGAGACGGCCACAGAUGAAGAUGAAGUCACUUCUCCAGAGAAAGUUACAUGAAGAUGUUUGUAUUCAUGAAGAGUCUCAGGAGUCAGACGCUCGUCUCUCUGCUCUACAUGGAAAACACAGUGAAGAAGAAGAGAAGCACAUCAGACUCAUAGUGUCUCCUGGGAAACAGGACCUGUCCUCACUUUCAUAAGCAUGGUUUCAGCAUCCUUCCAUUACAGCAUUAGGCUACGAAGUCACGUCACCAUCAGUAGGCUCCGUGGAAAACUGAACUAUAACCUAAUAAAAGACUUUAAGGCUUCA